rnacentral:tRNA from 1 species
GCCGUGGUGGUGGAACUGGUAGACACGUUGGACUUAAAAUCCAAUGAGGUUAAUCCCUCGUGCGGGUUCGACUCCCGCCCUCGGCA